rnacentral:tRNA from 1 species
GGUCUCUUAGUCUAGAGGUUAGGACACCAGGUUUUCAUCCUGGCAACACGGGUUCAAGUCCCGUAGAGAUCACCA